rnacentral:rRNA from 1 species
AUGCGCGAUCGAUCAAGCGAACCAGCACACCGCCUGACCGGAGCGAGUGAGGGACAAUUAAGGAAGACUGUCACUUACGUUGUCGACGAAGACGGUGCCGAAAUUGCCGACGAUGUUGAUGAUGCCGAACACGAGGCCGCCGGAGCUGAGCAUGGUGAGGUAGGAACCCUUGAGGUUGCCAUGGACGGGUCCGCAAGACUGACCAGAGCGCGAGAGGUCGCCGGAGCAGUCCCUGGCGGCGCUGGCGACGACCAGGAGGCGCUCGUACACCACCUUGGGGCUGCCGAGGCUGCUGCUGGAGGUGUAGACGAGGAAGACGAAGACGAGGAGCACGGCGUGCACGACGACGGAGUGGAUGUAGCUGGCGAGGAAAGUGGCCUUGAGCCCGCCGGCGAGCGUGUACACGAUGACGCCGAGCGGGAUGAGGAAGCUGGCGGCGUAGACGUUGACGCCCGUGAGCGCGUGCACGACGGCAGAGCCGCCGAGCAGCAGCAUGGCGGUGACGAUGACGUUGGUGGCGAGGCAGAAGGUGAGGAAGACGAGGUGCGCGCGGGCACCCCACCGGGCCCUGACGAUCUCGCAGACGGUGUGCGCGUUGGGCGCCUUGCGCUUGAUCUCGAUGGCCAUGAUCCCGAAGAGGAGCACCUGCACGGUGGCGCCGCUGGCGUACCAGAAGGGCCCGCUCACGCCGUACUGCCACGCCACGUUGGAGCUCUGCAGGAUGGUCGCCGCCCAUGUCCACUGCGACACGAUCACGCUGGCGAUCAGCCCGGUCUUCACGCUCCGGCCGGCGGUGUUGAACCACUCCGACGUCUGCAGCUGCGACCCACCCACGUAACGUUUCUCCAACCACACCUAGCAUCAUUUUCUCGUUUUCGUCAGUCAAUUCCGAUCCGCUAA